GGCCUGGACCUAUGCGGUCAGAACGCCUAAAUCUUGUCAGGACCGGAAGGUAGCAGCAACACGGGAUGCUUCUGAUAGGCGUGGAAUCCGGGUCACU
rnacentral:SRP_RNA from 32 species